rnacentral:rRNA from 1 species
UACGGGGGGGGCAAGCGUUGUUCGGAAUUACUGGGCAUAAAGGGCUCGUAGGCGGCCAACUAAGUCAGACGUGAAAUCCCUCGGCUUAACCGGGGAACUGCGUCUGAUACUGGAUGGCUUGAGUUUGGGAGAGGGAUGCGGAAUUCCAGGUGUAGCGGUGAAAUGCGUAGAGAUGUGGAGGAACACCGAUGGCGAAGGCAGCCUCCUGGGCCAACACUGACGCUCAUGCACGAAAGCGUGGGGAGCAAACAGG